AAUAUAUCAUUUUUUCUCUACUUUUGCCUUGUCUGGGCGGCCAGUCAUCCCAAUGGGCAAUCAUUAAUCCUAGAGGGCUGUCUGGCGCUAUCAUAGGGAGACUCCAGGAUCUCCAGCUAUGG